GAUGUGAUGGCCGAGUGGUAAAAGUGUUGGACUUCUAAAUCCAACGGAGUAUCCCUGUGCAGGUUCUAACCCUGCUCACAAUG
rnacentral:tRNA from 1 species